rnacentral:rRNA from 1 species
UACAGAGGUCCCAAGCGUUGUUCGGAUUCACUGGGCGUAAAGGGUGCGUAGGUGGUGGGGUAAGUCGGAUGUGAAAGCUCGAAGCUCAACUCCGAAAUGGCAUUGGAAACUACCCUGCUAGAGGAUUGGAGGGGGGACUGGAAUACUUGGUGUAGCAGUGAAAUGCGUAGAUAUCAAGUGGAACACCAGUGGCGAAGGCGAGUCCCUGGACAAUACCUGACACUGAGGCACGAAAGCUAGGGGGAGCAAACAGG